CAUCCUCACACCUUGUUACCACAUCGCGGUAUCCAUUCCUACCACUGAUACCCUAAUUAAUACCUUCAAAAUGUAAUUCUCCAAUCUAUUGAAAAAACGGGUCGGGAAAAAAAACAAAAAAAUACCUUCAAAAUGUAAUUCUCCAAUCUAUUGAAAAAAACAGGUAGGGGAAAAAAACAAAAAAAUACCUUCAAAAUAUAAUUCUCCAAUCUAUUGAAAAAAUGAGUAAGGGUUGUCUUCUUCAAUGAAUUACCAAAAACAAAAAAAAACAAAAAACGAGGAUAAAGUUUAGGACAAG
rnacentral:lncRNA from 1 species